AGCAGCCGCGGUAAUUCCAGCUCCAAUAGCGUAUAUUAAAGUUGUUGCAGUUAAAAAGCUCGUAGUUGAAUUUCGGGAUUGGCGCAUCGGUCGUGCCUCACGGGGUAUGAACUGGUGCAGUCAAUUUCUCACCUUCUGGAGAACCGCGAUGUCCUUAAUUGGAUGCCGCGGGGAACCAGGACCUUUACUUUGAAAAAUUAGAGUGUUUAAAGCAGGCAUUUUUGCUUGAAUACAUUAGCAUGGAAUAAUAAAAUAGGACGGCAUGGUUCUAUUUUGUUGGUUUCUAGGACCACCGUAAUGAUUAAUAGGGAUAGUUGGGGGCAUUAGUAUUCAAUUGUCAGAGGUGAAAUUCUUGGAUUUAUUGAAGACUAACUACUGCGAAAGCAUUUGCCAAGGAUGUUUUCAUUAAUCAAGAACGAAAGUUAGGGGAUCGAAGACGAUCAGAUACCGUCGUAG
rnacentral:misc_RNA from 1 species